rnacentral:rRNA from 1 species
GACGAACGCUGGCGGCGUGCCUAAUACAUGCAAGUCGAGCGGACUUGACAGAGCUUGCUCUGUUCAAGUUAGCGGCGGACGGGUGAGUAACACGUGGGCAACCUGCCCUGCAGAUUGGGAUAACUCCGGGAAACCGGGGCUAAUACCGAAUAACAUUGAAAACCUCAUGGUUUUCUUUUGAAAGGCGGCUUCGGCUGUCACUGCAGGAUGGGCCCGCGGCGCAUUAGCUAGUUGGUGAGGUAACGGCUCACCAAGGCGACGAUGCGUAGCCGACCUGAGAGGGUGAUCGGCCACACUGGGACUGAGACACGGCCCAGACUCCUACGGGAGGCAGCAGUAGGGAAUCUUCCGCAAUGGACGAAAGUCUGACGGAGCAACGCCGCGUGAGUGAAGAAGGUUUUCGGAUCGUAAAACUCUGUUGUCAGGGAAGAACAAGUACGGGAGUAACUGCCCGUACCUUGACGGUACCUGGCCAGAAAGCCACGGCUAACCACGUGCCAGCCGCCGCAGUAAAAC